rnacentral:rRNA from 1 species
UGGGGAAUUUUGGACAAUGGGGGAAACCCUGAUCCAGCCAUCCCGCGUGUGCGAUGAAGGCCUUCGGGUUGUAAAGCACUUUUGGCAGGAAAGAAACGUCAUGGGUUAAUACCCCGUGAAACUGACGGUACCUGCAGAAUAAGCACCGGCUAACUACGUGCCAGCAGCCGCGGUAAUACGUAGGGUGCAAGCGUUAAUCGGAAUUACUGGGCGUAAAGCGUGCGCAGGCGGUUCGGAAAGAAAGAUGUGAAAUCCCAGAGCUCAACUUUGGAACUGCAUUUUUAACUACCGGGCUAGAGUGUGACAGAGGGAGGUGGAAUUCCGCGGGUAGCAGUGAAAUGCGUAGAUAUGCGGAGGAACACCGAUGGCGAAGGCAGCCUCCUGGGAUAACACUGACGCUCAUGCACGAAAGCGUGGGGAGCAAACAGG